CGGUGGUGAACUCACUGGUGCAGAAAUAGGUGUUACGUUAGUAGUGGGAGGAGUGGCUGGUGCUGCGGUAGUGGUUGGAGAUGCAGCCGGCGUUGUGAUGGAAGAAGUAGUUGGAGCAGUGGCCGUGGGUGGUUGAACUGCAGUUACAUUAGUAGUAGGAGGAGUGGCCGUGGGUGGUUGAACUGCAGUUACGUUAGUAGUGGGAGGAGUGGCCGUGGGUGGUGGAACUGAAGUGGUUGUUGUUGUGGUGGGAGCAGUUGCGGUGGCAGUUGGAGGAGGGGAAGCUGGAGAAGGUGAGGUUGUAGGAGAAUCUGCGGCGGAGGUGAAUACGGCGGCGUCGUGCAAGGAGGCAAUGAUGGAAAGAAGAAAAACAACGGUGAGGAUUGAUCGGUGAGUCAUGAUGUUCGUCUGUGAUUAAUCUCGCUUGUUGAGAAAGUGAAUAGAAGAAGA
rnacentral:lncRNA from 1 species